rnacentral:rRNA from 1 species
AUUGAACGCUGGCGGCAUGCCUUACACAUGCAAGUCGAACGGUAACGGGCCUUCGGGUGCCGACGAGUGGCGAACGGGUGAGUAAUGUAUCGGAACGUACCUUUCAGUGGGGGAUAACGUAGCGAAAGUUACGCUAAUACCGCAUAUUCUGUGAGCAGGAAAGCAGGGGAUCGCAAGACCUUGCGCUGAUUGAGCGGCCGAUAUCAGAUUAGCUAGUUGGUGAGGUAAAGGCUCACCAAGGCGACGAUCUGUAGCGGGUCUGAGAGGGUGAUCCGCCACACUGGAACUGAGACCAGGCCCAGACUCCUACGGGAGGCAGCAGUGGGGAAUUUUGGACAAUGGGGGCAACCCUGUUCCAGCCAUGCCGCGUGAGUGAAGAAGGCCUUCGGGUUGUAAAGCUCUUGCGGCCGGGAAGAAAUCGUAUCAGCUAAUACCUGGUGCGGAUGACGGUACCGGCAUAAGAAGCACCGGCUAACUACGUGCCAGCCGCCGCCGUAAUAC